ACAGAGAUCAAAGAGAGACACAGAAGGUGAGACUGGGGAGAGAGAUAAUGUAAAAGGAAGAAAGAGUACAAGAGGAAGUGAGAGGAUGCAGAGAGGCUGGCAGGGCUGAGAAAAGGAUCUAGAGGCUCAAGCAACAAGGAGGUGCAGGGAAAGGGUGGAGCAUGGCCACUGAGGAGAGACAGAGCCAGAGAACUGGAGGAUGCAAGUGAGAAAGGGAUGUGGAGGAGAGUGUAGAAUCAGGCUGCUUGAGGAAUAGUAGGCUGCCUACAGCAAAGACUAGAUGGCUGUAUGUCAGGAGGUAAAUAGAGAGGAUUCAGGUUAUGAAAGGGUAAACCGAUAAGAUGACCGUUAAGGUUUUGUUGUUUUACUGAGAGGCUGUAAAUCCACCAGGGGAAGCUGUCACUAAGGCUGCAGAGGGGCUGGAGAGCUACACAGGGAAGAUCAGAACUACUGUUGUAAACAAUGCCGCUGGGUUAGGGUCUCCCCGACUGAGCUGGUAUCAGCAAAUGGCAUCCAUCAUGGGGACUCAAAUCCAGGUCAAAGGUUUGCCAGAGGGAUGGUUGGAGAACAUGGAACUAGCUAGAGGACACCUGAGUACUCUUAAAGCAAUCCCUGUGGCCAAAAUCAACAGCCAAUUUGGAUACCAUCAAGACAAAUGAAACCUUAUCAUGAGCCAGAUUCUGGGAGGAUCCCGAGGACCCCUCAGUUGAAGCCAUGUCAAGACUGACGUUGAGGAAGACCCCAGCUUUCACGAGCAACACCCGUUUAACACAGCCACCCACCUGGGGAGAGAUCACGAAGCUGUCACAGAUUGUGGAAGAAAACCUGAGAAAAGCAGGACAACCAGUCACAAUGAGUAAUUUAAUGGUAGCUAUGAUAGCAGUUAUCACCCUGCCAUGAGUAUUCCUUCAACAAGGGCUGACACAGAGAACAAUUAUACUUACUGGGCAUAUAUAUCAAUCCUGGAUGGUAAUAAUGCCUGAAUAUAAUCACUCUAUGACACAGUUACACAUGCUUUCUGAUCUCAGUAUUUACCCUAAUAAAUUUGUUCCUAUAAUUGAGGCAUACCACCUUAAAAAACCUAUUUGUAAACAAAAUAGAACCUGGCCAGAAAUAAUGAAUGUACUUGUUUAGGAAGAUUGCUUUACAGAACAGGCAGAGGGGCUGCAUAACGAUUCCUAUGGAAUCUUUAUUGAUUGGUCCCCUAAAGGGAUGUUUAACCUAAAUUGCACCUCUCAGUCUGCAUGCCAUGGCCACACUAUGCUCAGCUGAUCUAAACAAAAUGGUCAGAUGGUAGAAAUGAUAAGAAGUAUGGCAAAAGUUCCUAUUAUCUGAAACCAUGGCAGUAUAGUGGCACCUCAACCUCAAAUGAUAUGGCUUAUUGUAGGAGGUAAACAUGAAGGAUUUGUGGAAACUAUUAAUAGCUCUUAAUAAGAUCAAAAUUUGGGAAAGAAUAAAAAAGUAUCUAGAAGGACACACUACAAACUUGUUUUUGGAUAUGGCAAAAUUAGAAGAACAAAUAUUUAAAACAUCUCAAGCACACAUGGCCUUAAUGCCAGGAACUGGAGUGUUUAAAGGAGCUGCAGACAGAUUAGCAGCUAGUAACCCAUUAAAAUGGAUAAAAAUACUUGGAAGCUCUGUAAUUUCAAUGAUGAUUGUGCUUUUAAUCUGUGUUGUUUGUCUUUGUAUAGUCUGCAGAUGUGGAUCCUGACUCCUGUGAGAAGUAGCUCACCAUGACAAAGCUGCCUUUGCUUUUAUCGCUUUGCAAAUCAAAUAAGGGGGACAUGUAGGGAACAGGCCCCCCCCAAAAUCUGGCCAUAAACUGGCCACAAAACUGGCCAUAAACAAAAUCUCUGCAGCACUGUAUCAUGUUCAUGAUGGCCAUAACGCCCACACUGGAAGGUUGUGGGUUUACCAGAAUGAGGUCAAGGAACACCUGGCCCGCCCAGGGUGGAAAACCUCUUAAAGGCAUUUUUAAGCCACAAACAAAAGCAUGAGUGAUCUGUGCCUUAAGGACAUGCUUCUAUUGCAGUUAACUAGCCCAACCUAUUACUUUAAUUUGGCCCAUCCCUUCGUUUCCCAUAAGGGAUACUUUUAGUUAAUUUAAUAUCUAUAGAAACAAUGCUAAUGACUAGCUUGCUGUUAAUAAAUAUGUGGGCAAAUCUUUGUUCAGGGCUCUCAGCUCUGAAGGCUGUGAGGGCCCUGAUUUCCCACUUCACACCUCUA